AGAGUCAAUCUUGGACCUAUGAUGAUGACUGGUGGCGUAUGAGUCAUUGACGGUGAAUACAGGUCUGGAAGUCUGAGGUCCAAUAUAAUAAAAAAUCUAGUCUUCACCUUCUAUCCUAGGGAUAGACAUUAGGAAUAUUUGAGGAUGUUGUUCUUGGUCUUCACGUUCAUGCAUUUUCCCUCUAUUUUUAUAAUUGGAUCAAUGAAUCAAUAAGCAAAUAUAUUUUAACUGCAUAAAGAUAAAAAUAGGCGUUGUCCAAUUAUGGAAAUAUAUGGUGAAAUAAGAAAUACUAUUCACAUUUAUUAAAAACACUGAGGUCUUCUUUCUAUUAACAAAUAAAUGACUCAGAGGUAUUACUCGCUUGCUGCAGGAUGGCAUAUACAGUAAAAAUAAUAAUAACGUAUGUGAGGUCAUUUGGGUCAGGACCAUGUUCAUGGUUGUUUGUUUUCUCAAGAAAAAAUAGUUUCACACAUACUUACAUGACUAAUAGAAUGAAAGGAGAAAUGUGUGGAUAAAUGGACAGAAUAUUUCCAUCUUUUUAUCUUUUUUGCUUUGUACUCUCACAAUGAACACCCUCAAGUUGACUUAAGCACCCUUCCAUGGUCAUGAGGUUUCUGGUUGCCUCUGUGUGUUAGAAGCUUGGAGACCAAUGCCUUCUGCUGUGAUCGCGUUCUCCACAGUUGCCUCUGGGUAGGAGCCUGGACACUAAUAGAAAAUGGAUGCACUUGAGCCGACCUAAGCAUUCAUGGUCAUGAGAUUUGUGGUUGCCACUGUUGGUUAGGAGCAUAGAGAUCAGUAAUGGACACACCUGGGCUGGCAGAACAUCUUGCCUUGAUCUGGAGCCCCAUGUCUGCCCCUCUGUAGAGGUGCACAUGGGCCAAUGAUGGAUGCAAUGAGCUGAUCAUUUUGCUGUGAUCAAGGCUAUGUUGCCUCUGUGUUAGGCCAAUGUGAGUAAUGGUUCUUGUCUUGGUUUAGGUUGUUUAAUGGUAUUCCUGAUAUUAUUAAAAAUUAUUUAAUAUAAUAAAAAGUUAAUUGGCUUAAUGACAAUGUGCAACAUUGAGGUUAAUUAAUGAAAGAGAUGUAGUCUCUGUGGGAAAUUAUUGUAUAGACAAAUGUAAGGAUUCUUCAAAUAUCUUGUUCUUGGGUUUUCAAAAUCAUGUAUUCAUUUUAUUAUCAAAGAAGAAAUGAUUUAUUCAAUAAAUAUUUAGAAAUGAAUGAUGAAAGAGAGACCCAACUAUGAAUCAAUGGUGACCACUGGUGGCAUAUAAGUCAUGGAUGAUGAAUAUGAGAAGAAAAGAAUCUAGGUUUUUGCUUCUGUUGGAAAUGAUCCUGUAGACAAUGUCAGAAACAUACAAAGAUCAUUUUCUUAUCUUGGGGUCAUAGAUUUAGGUUUAUUAUUACUAAUAUAUGAAUGAUAGAACCAUUAAACAAAUAUAAACAGAUUACAAGUAGAGAUUUAAGCUACAGUGUCCAGCUAUGAAUAUAGGAGAUGAGAUAAAUUAUUACUAAAAAUAGGAGAUACUGAUUCCUCUUAUCAAAGAAAUGGAUCACAGUGUUUCCUCUUUGACUAAGGAUUAUAUAGAAUCUAACAAGUAAGAGUCAGUUUUAUUUUCUUGGUCAGAGAUUGUUUCUUCUGUUAAGAGAGAAAGACACCUAUAAUAUGAAAAAUUAGUAAAUACCCAAAUCACUGAAUAAAUGCUAUGCAGAAAGGCAGGAUCAACAGAGAUUAGGUCUCAAUGUUUUUAGUCUGCUCUGUACUCCUCAGAAUGGACAGACCCGGGCUGAUUUUGGUGUUCUGUGGCUAUGAGAUCAGUGGUUGCCUCCAUGUGUUAGGAACAUGGAGACUGACGUAAUAGUCAAACUUCUUGUCUCAGUUUCAGUGUUCUUCUGAAGGGUAUGCAGUAAGUGCAAAAUGUAAUCAGUGACUGCCAACCAUUACCCAAAUGUAAAAAA
ensembl:lncRNA MEG8 maternally expressed 8, small nucleolar RNA host gene